UCCGAAUUGGUGUAGUGGCUAACAUUUGACGCUCUCAAAGUUGCAAAACAUUGGAACCGUCAAGCCCGGGGUUCGAUUCCCCGAUUCGGAG